AGAUAAGCCAAAGGCUGAGUUGAUCUGGCUAAUUUAGCAAAUUUUAGAGAAACCAGUUCUUCUACAUUGAAAAUGACAGUUUGUAUUCAAUGGAUAUUAUUAUUGUGUUGUGAAAACAAUAUAAGGAAAAACAACUGAUAAAAGUGUUCCAAGAAGUGUUACCUUAGUGAAACAUCAGUGAAAUGUGAUUAUCCGUCAUUAAGAGUAACACAGCUGCUCCAGAGUAUCAACAUGUUGCUUAUCAAACAAACCUGAUGAAUCAUC